UAAUCUCACUCCAACACCUUUAUUGAUGUUGGAUGUGGACUUGGAUGUUGUCGUGUUCAACGACUCGUCUUAAAUGCCUGAGUGUACCCUGCUUUGCAGCGUAUCAGUGUGAUAAACAUAUUCACUGUUAAGUCUUUCGGGACACGCUUGUGGUGUAGGUUCUAUGCUUUCCAACCGUCCUCUGGACAAUCUCUGACA
rnacentral:misc_RNA from 1 species